CUCCAUGUUGUCUUGCCCUGUAAAGCUUAGAACACUCUUCAAAAUUUGAAGUUCUGAUGAAAAAGAUUUAUGCGGAAGACCUGGCCAACUGAAAGGGGGUGAAUUGCUCAAGAUCAUACAAAUGGCUGUCUAGAGGGAUGUAAUUCCAGUUUCUUGCUUCUGCACACCAUUAUUUACAAGACACAGCAACCAUGCUGAAGAAGAAGCUCUCAGGAGAAGGAGGAUGGAGAUGAAUGCUCGUGGAAAGCUUUAGACAUUUCUACAGAAGCUGGGCAAGAUACCAGACCAAUCUACUUCUCCACUGACAUCAUGCCAUCUCUCCUCCAGUAUAGAGUUGCAGUUCAAAAUUUUGAUGAUAGCCUGCCAAGCCUGGGAUGCCUUGAAUACAGGGUGCAUGAAGGAUUGCCUUAUAAAGUCAGAAGGAAGAAAUCACUCAAUGUUUGGCUCAGUGACAAAUAAAGAAAUCCUGCUGUUUUCAACCCCUUCUUCUGGAGAAGACACAACAGUAUUAUGGUGCCAUCUUGUGGUUUGAUCAAGAAGGGGCAUUUAACAGCCAUGGAGUUUGGCAGAAAGCAGGCAGUUAACUAAAGGACUAUUUCAUAUGACACAGAUUUAAGGACCAUGAAUUGGUGACAGCCUGCUAUGUCCUAUAGAGUAUCAGCUUCAUACAGGAACAUUUAUUUUUGAUUGAUGAUGACAAGAAGUUGAAAGUGAGAAAAGGCACAAAGAAAUCUGCCCAGGAGUGUUAAUUACAAUGAAAUGCAUUUGUAAUAUUUUUGCAAAGAUGAUAUUGAUAGCCUGCUGUGACAUUAACACAUGGCAAACACGUUGGCAUUCUGCUGCUUCAAUAUUUAUUGUGUCCACAAAUUCUGAUUGAUGCAUAUUUCAAUAGAGAGUCUGGAUGCAUAUAUUUUAUACCUCCUUCAUUGUGCUAUUCUUUCUGUGCUUGUUCCCAAUAGAGAAUUCACAUGGUUAGGUUGUACCACUUUAAAUCAUUUGGUGCUUUACAGAUGUAGCCUUUUAUUUUCUCAGAAGCCUACAAGAUGCACACAAUAUGGUCUCUUGGGACUUAGCCAUGAAAUCCAAUUCUCCAGCUGCACAAAAUCUUUGAGAUGCCAUUUCUCUGCACCUGAGACAGGGCAUAGGCAGGUUUAUUCUUUUUGCAUAUUAUUGUGGGGGUGACAGGUCCCUUGCAUCUGGCCAUAGAGAGACAGGUAGGUUUUGGGCCAAGGAAUGGGGAGCAUGCCAACCUCCAGAUGUUUUUGAACUGCAACUUUCAGUCUCUUUCCUCAUUCUGGCACAUCCAGAAAUUCAACAGUAAAUUCUGAUCUACCAGGUUUCCCUGCCUCAACUCCAAACUAUGGGUAGCUUUGAGUAGACCAAUCCUUGUAGAAUUAACACCACUAUAAAUAUUUUUAAAACAUUAAGCCAGAGUUUCUCAAUGCUGUGGCCCCUUAAUACAGUUCUUCAGGUUGUGGUGACCCCCAACCAUAAAAUUAUUUUUGUUGCAACUUCAUAACUGUAAUUUUGCUACUGUUAUGAAUCAUAAUGUACAUAUCUGCUUAUGCAGGAUGUAUUUUCAUUCACUGGACCAAAUUUGGCACAAAUACGCAAUAUGCCCAAAUUUGAAUA